rnacentral:rRNA from 1 species
AGUGAACGCUGGCGGUAGGCUUAACACAUGCAAGUCGAACGGCAGCACAGUAAGAGCUUGCUCUUACGGGUGGCGAGUGGCGGAAGGGUGAGGAAUACAUCGGCAUCUACUUUUUCGUGGGGGAUAACGUAGGGAAACUUACGCUGAUACCGCAUACGACCUACGGGUGAAAGCAGGGGAUCUUCGGACCUUGCGCGAUUGAAUGAGCCGAUGUCGGAUUAGCUAGUUGGCGGGGUCAAGGCCCACCAAGGCGGCGAUCCGUAGCUGGUCUGAGAGGAUGAGGUGGCAGACUGGAAAGGAGAGACGGUCCAGAGGCCUAUGAGAGACAGCAGUGAGGAAUAUUGGAGGAAGGGGGGGAGACUAUUCCAGACAGACCGCGAGGGUGAAGAAGGCCUUCUGGGUGUAAAGUGCAUUUGUUGGGAAAGAAAAGCAGCUGCAUAAGACCCCGCUGUUCUGACGGUACCCAAAGAAGAAGCACCGGCUAACUUCGUG